rnacentral:rRNA from 1 species
AAGGAGCUUGACGGUAUCGUAAGAAUAAGGAUCGGCUAACUCCGUGCCAGCAGCCGCGGUAAUACGGAGGAUCCAAGCGUUAUCCGGAAUCAUUGGGUUUAAAGGGUCCGUAGGCGGUUUAGUAAGUCAGUGGUGAAAGCCCAUCGCUCAACGGUGGAACGGCCAUUGAUACUGCUAGACUUGAAUUAUUAGGAAGUAACUAGAAUAUGUAGUGUAGCGGUGAAAUGCUUAGAGAUUACAUGGAAUACCAAUUGCGAAGGCAGGUUACUACUAAUAUAUUGACGCUGAUGGACGAAAGCGUGGGUAGCGAACAGGAUUAGAUACCCUGGUAGUCCACGCCGUAAACGAUGGAUACUAGCUGUUGGGAGCAAUCUCAAUGGCUAAGCGAAAGUGAUAAGUAUCCCACCUGGGGAGUACGUUCGCAAGAAUGAAACUCAAAGGAAUUGACGGGGGCCCGCACAAGCGGUGGAGCAUGUGGUUUAAUUCGAUGAUACGCGAGGAACCUUACCAAGGCUUAAAUGUAGAUUGACCGGUUUGGAAACAGACUUUUCGCAAGACAAUUUACAAGGUGCUGCAUGGUUGUCGUCAGCUCGUGCCGUGAGGUGUCAGGUUAAGUCCUAUAACGAGCGCAACCCCUGUUGUUAGUUGCCAGCGAGUCAUGUCGGGAACUCUAACAAGACUGCCAGUGCAAACUGUGAGGAAGGUGGGGAUGACGUCAAAUCAUCACGGCCCUUACGCCUUGGGCUACACACGUGCUACA